UCGGCAACGGAUAUCUCGGCUCUCGCAUCGAUGAAGAACGUAGCGAAAUGCGAUACUUGGUGUGAAUUGCAGAAUCCCGUGAACCAUCGAGUCUUUGAACGCAAGUUGCGCCCGAAGCCAUUAGGUCGAGGGCACGCCUGCCUGGGCGUCACGCAUCGC
rnacentral:rRNA from 1 species